rnacentral:lncRNA from 1 species
CCUUUUAAUCCUAUGGACGAGAUUAAUCCUCACCCCCAUGUAAAACCUAAUAUUUCACAAACCCUAAAUCUAAUAUACCCACUGACCCACCCUUCUCCUACAUGAAGCUCCCGCCGCACAACCAUGUCCAACUUGCCCGAAUCACACCCAAAAUCGGGCGAAUCGUCUCGCUGAGUUUGCUGGUCCCCCCAACCUCUCUCUCUCUCUCUCUCUCUUCUCCAUUUCAUCCAAACCACGUGAAGAAUAUUCUCGAACUAAUUUCUUUCUUCUUCGAGUAUGUGAUUGGACGAAUGGGAAACGUGGGAUUGAUCUAAAUCGAUCCUAGCCUUCCAUUCAACCGCGCGCUUACUUGGUUGAGAGAUUUUUCGGUUCCUUGGAGAUAAAGGCUAGAGGUUUCUAGGUUCGAUAUAUAAGGGGUUCGUUUUCAGAUUUGGGGAGGGAUUUCUUGAGAGAAAAGCUAGGGUUUUGGGGUUUUGAUUUUGAGUCCUCCUCUUAAUCUAAUUUUCAGUUUGUUCAUAGAUAAAAAAAAGGGUUCUGUUUCGUGUUGAUAAUCAGAAAAUAUUUUCAAAAAAAAAAAAGUUAGCUCUUUCUGGUUCUUGUUUAUAUUUUUAGAAGUCAGAAAAAUCAAAAAAAAGAACAACACAAAAUAAAUAUAGUUCAUUUUUCCAGUUCUGAUUUAAGCAUGGAGUUUGAUUGAACUCUGGUGGUGUUCGAAUUAUUGGAGUCGCCGCUAUGUUUCGGGUCGUGGCUCGUGGUUUCUGUUCGAAGAUCCUGCUGAGUUUCUCUGUUCCGGAUUCGCUCGAUCCAAGGUUGUAACUGCAGAAAUUUUGUUAAUUGAAGCUGCAUUUUCAGGUUCAUUUUAAACUUUUCUCUUCUCUACUUGAAUAUAUGUGGAACAAAGUAAUUGUUGCUUGGCUUAAGCCAUUAGUAAUUUCUGAAGCCUUGUUUAAUUUCUCUCUGAUUUAGUUUGCGUUGUGUUGAGUGUGUGUUUGAGUCUUAUCUUUCGGCGAUACUUUCGUUCAGAUGUGUUUAAGGUGCUUGCAUCUUUGCCUUUGUGAUUGUUCACGUACUUUUCCUUUACCAAUAUUGUUGAAAUUCUAUACGAAGCUUAGCAGUAUGCCUGCUCUUAUGAUAUUGAAUGACUCAAAAAAUGGAAAUAUGAAAUUUGUACAAUGGGUCUGUUUUUACAUAAAUCGACACUUGUUUUUGUAGUUUUUCUUUUUAAAAGGGUUUAUCUACAUAGUGUCUAGCUAAUAUAUCUUUAGCUUUUUUAGAUUCUCCAUUAGUUCCAUAUUACAUCUGUUAAAAGAAAUUUGGCAAUCUGCUUAAAGUUUUGUUCGAACUUAGUGUCGUAUUAGUUGGCUUUGUUUGAGUUUAGUAUUCAUUUAGAAGUUUUGUUCAUCCUCUGCUGAAUAUCACAAAUUUAGCGCAUAGGAGAGUGAAAUGGAAUGGUGUUAGUUUGGGAAUCGAGAUGGUAAGGAUAUGGAAAUUUUGAGGAUUAUGUCGUUAAUUUUCCCCCUUUUUGCGCCUUUCUUUCUUAAUUAGUUUUCUAAAGGUCAAUUUCGUCUCUUUAGCCAUAUUGCCACUUUAAGGAUCAAGUUUGCAGUAUUUCAUAUGGUGACAUCAUUUGAUUGCUUUAGAUAUGAUAUUAUUAUCAGUAGUCUGUUUAGUGUGCCUUCCAAGACUCACGACUCUAACCCAUUGUUCUUCGCCUAUUUGUCGUUACUCUUUUAGUUUUUCAUUAGUUUCUAUAUUUUUUAAAUAUUUGUCUGUCAUGCCUGUGGAAUGUGAAAUUGAACAUGGUGGAGGAAUUGGACCUUAAAUAUCUUAUUACUCUUGUUUAUUCCUUUAUCACUCGCUAGGAGCAUGCUUAGGCCGACAACAUUCGAGUAGGCAAUAUUAGAAUUUUUCUAUUUGUUUGCUUUUAAUUUCGUGGCAAGAGGUCAUUCCCCUAAUUGAAUUUAUCCAGGGAAUGCCCCGAUGGGUUUGUAUAUAUUAUUAUCCGAGGUAUGCCCCGAAGAACUAUGUAAAUAUUCUGGAGGCCUUGACGAGCAUGGUGGAGAAGUCGUAGUAUAGGUUAGCCUAAGAUUUUUCUUUUCCUUUCCUUUUUAUUUUCUUUUAUUAGGCGGGGACGACCUCAAGACUUGUGUGUGUUUAUUCUGCUUUUCUGUGAUUUUACCUUAACUAGAAUAUUCUAAAAGCCAACUAGAUUGGAUACGCAACCGUACUAGUUACGGGACUUGGGGAGUGUCUAACACCUUCUCCCCGAGUCAAAUGAACCCCCUUACCCAAACCUCUAGUGCGGACUUAGCUUUGAGUCCAAGUGUUUUAAAGGAAAAAUAUUUUCUAAAAAACCGGUGGCCUAGCACACCGAAAUCAAAUGCCAGCUGGCGACUCUGAGUUUUCCUUUUGAAUACAAUCUUUGUCACUUUCAGAAAUUGAAAAUCUUUUUCAGCUUUACUACAAUCUUUUUAUUUAUUUAAGGGGGUUUAGUAAGGUUGGUUAAAAAGGGGUGUGACAUCUCUGGCGACUCUGCUGGGGACAAGUAGGUUCGAGCUAGUACUUGAUUUUGUUGGUUUUUAGGAUAUUCAGUUGAGGUUUUUAUGUGUUUCGUUUGCUUUUUAUUUUGUUUAUGUCGUUUUUAUUUGCUAGUUGUUUAUUUAUUUACAG